AUCGGAGAGAGGUACUUGCUACUGAUCUUAGCGGCGGACGGGUGAUUAAUGCUUAGGAAUCUGCCUAUUAGGGGGGGACAACAUUUCAAAAGGAAUGCUAAUACCGCAAACGUCCUACGGAAAAAAGCAGGGGAUCUUCGGACCUUGCGCUAAUAGAGGAGCCUAAGUCGGAUUAGCUAGUUGGGGGGGUAAAGGCCUACCAGGGCGACGAUCUGUAGCGGGUCUGAGAGGAUGAUCCGCCACACUGGGACUGAAACACGGCCAAAACUCCUACGGGAGGCAGCGGUGGGGAAUAUUGGACAAGGGGCGCAAGCCUGAUCCAGCCAUGCCGCGUGGGUGAAGAAGGCCUUAUGGUUGUAAAGCAUUUUAAACGAGGAGGAGGCUACUUUAGUUAAUACCUAAAGAUAGUGGACGUUACUCGCAAAAUAAGCACCGGCUAACUCUGUGCCAGCAGCCGCGGUAAUACAGAGGGUGCAAGCGUUAAUCGGAUUUACUGGGCGUAAAGCGCGCGUAGGCGGCUAAUUAAGUCAAAUGUGAAAUCCCCGAGCUUAACUUGGGAAUUGCAUUCAAUACUGGUUAGCUAGAGUGGGGAAGAGGAUGGUAAAAUUCCAGGUGUAGCGCUGAAAUGCGUAAAAACCUGGAGGAAUACCGAUGACAAAGGCGGCCUUCUGCCCUAUUACCUGACCCCUGUUGUUGCGCAACCUUGGGGAGCAACAGGAUUAAAAUCCCCUGGUCCCCCCUGCCGUAACACGAUGUCCUCCUACCCGUUUG
rnacentral:rRNA from 1 species